AUUGAACGCUGGCGGCAGGCCUAACACAUGCAAGUCGAGCGAGCGGCGGACGGUGGAGUAAUGUAUGGGGACUGCCCGUUAGCGGGCGAUAACUACGGGAAACGGUAGCUAAUACCGCAUACUAUCGGAUAACCCAUAUGGGAUUAGCUGGUAGGUGAGGUACUGGCUCACCUAGGCGACGAUCCCUAGCUGGUCUGAGAGGAUGAUCAGCCACACUGGGACUGAGACACGGCCCAGACGCCUACGGAGGCAGCAGUGGGGAAUAUUGCACAAUGGGCGCAAGUCUGAUGCAGUCAUGCCGCGUGUAUGAAGAAGGCCCUAGGGUUGUAAAGUACUGUCAGUCGGGAGGCGUUACCGACAGAAGAAGCACCGGCUAACUCCGUGCCAGCAGCCGCGGUAAUUC
rnacentral:rRNA from 1 species